UCCUACGGGAGGCAGCAGUGGGGAAUUUUGGACAAUGGGCGCAAGCCUGAUCCAGCAAUGCCGCGUGAGUGAAGAAGGCCUUCGGGUUGUAAAGCUCUUUCAGUUGAAAAGAAAAAGUCGUGACUAAUAAUCAUGGCUCAUGACGGUAUCAACGAGAGCCGUCA
rnacentral:rRNA from 1 species